rnacentral:lncRNA from 1 species
AUGCAGAGGAAGAAACAAUUUGGAGAGCAAGAGAUGCCGUUUGCUAGGGGCACAGAACACGACAGCCAGUUGGAAGUCAUUAAAUUCAGAUGCAGCUGCAUUUCUGACAAGAGUUCUUGGCCACCCCUGCUCUGUCUCCAUCCAGAAUAGUUCUUGCGGGGCACACUGCUCAGAUAUGAUAUAAAGGUAUUGGAAAGAAAACCUCUCUUAUGGAAACAGCAACAAAUUCCAAACUAUCUGGGUAGCACAAGCAAUUUACUCUCCUUCAACUUAAAGAAUUGUUGCUUUAUGGCCAUUUUCCUUGAGUUUAUUGAUUUCAUAUGCAGUUUUUUUUUUACAAUGCCAUAAUGCAUCUGGGCUUCAUGCACAGAGACAGAAAGGAUAACUAACAUUGGUGUCAUCUGUCAACCCAAAGUAAUCAAUGGCACCUGGUCUCUACUUAGAAGUGCAAAGCAUCAAGGAGCAAAGUCUCUUCAAUCAAAGUGCCUCAAGGACAAGAAAGGCAAGGAUGUUGCAGAAGAGAAAACAACAAAAAUAAGAAAAAAAUCCUAAUGUUAAAUGUUUGUUCGAAAGUAUCAUGUUUAAGUUUUACGGCAUCUUUUGUCAAAUGCCACUUUAGUGGCAUUGUAAAUGCUUAGUCAUUUGUGUGUCAAUGUUUGCUCUAUCCACUAAGAAAAGGUGUGGGUUGCUUAAUAAUUUCCAAAGGUUAUUAAUAUGUGUAUUCAAGGAAUAUGGAUCCACUUUAACAGAACAUAAUUAGGAAGGAAAUUUGCUGCCACAUCAAAGUCCUAUAAUACUUUAUUAAUAUACAAAAACUUACAUAGAAUCUUGUUUCACUUACAUAUAUCUGUGUACCCAUUCAUUACUGUCAGCAAAAAACAAAUAAUGAAAUACUGAGUAGAAAUUUAUAAUACUCAGAGGCAGACCCAAGCAAAAUUCUGGAGUGGAUGAAACCAUUCUUUCUUCUUUCUAACCUUUCAAGGCCUGUGUUUUU